AUUUAUAUAUGAAAAUAAAACAAAACGUGUAUUUUUGUAAGUACAAAUUUCAAGCACCGCAUAAUCCGUGUAGGUCCAGGUGCUCGUGGACGAAGCGAAGCUCCGAGAAGAUGCCCUCAAAGCCCAGGUGCUCUCAUUCGAAAAGGACAAUUGCGCCCUGAAGGAGCAGAAGAAAUCUCUUUUGCAAGAUGCCAAAGACUGGCAGGAGAAGCACGUGAGACUGAGCGAGGCGAUCACGGUUUACCACAAAACACAGACGGAGCUGGAGAACGCGCUCGUGCACAAAGAAAACGAAAUCGAAGUUCUGUCCGGAUGCAUCGCCAAGAUCAAAAACCUGGAGGCUUGUAACGACGAGGAGCUCGGGAACA